CAUAGCGACUAUCGUGGCAUAUCAAUAAGCGGAGGAAAAGAAACUAACAAGGAUUCCCCUAGUAACGGCGAGUGAAGCGGGAAGAGCUCAAAUUUGAAAUCUUCAAGGGUUUCCCUUGACGAAUUGUAGUUUAAAGAAGUGUUUUCUGUUAGAGAGGUGGUAAAAGUUCUUUGGAAUAGGACAUCAUAGAGGGUGAGAAUCCCGUAUUUGAUCACUUUCUACUAACGUUGUGAUACACUUUCAAAGAGUCGGAUUGUUUGGGAAUGCAGUCCAAAAUGGGUGGUAAAUUUCAUCUAAGGCUAAAUAUUGGCGAGAGACCGAUAGCGAACAAGUACCGUGAGGGAAAGAUGAAAAGAACUUUGAAAAGAGAGUUAAACAGUACGUGAAAUUGUCAAAAGGGAAGCGUUUGACACCAGUGUUGUUUUUCCGAAAAUCAAUUAUGAAUGGCUUGAUUUUAAGUAUUCAUUGACCUUAAUCAAGCUUGCUUCUUAUUUUCUCGAAUUAUUUAAUGCACUUUUCAGGUUAACAAGUCAACAUCAAUUUCUUUUGUUGUAAAAAGGUAAGAGGAAGGUGGCUUGCCUUUCGGGCUCAAGUGUUUAUAGCCUUUUAACUCCUGCAAUCGGAGAGAUUGAGGUCUGCAGCGUAGAUCCUUCGGGGUUAGAUACAUUUGUGCUAAGCUAUAGCCUUGUAUAGACAACUUGUUGACUAUGCUCAGUCAUGUACUUACUCGCAGUAUGCUAUUUUACCUACGCUUAGGAUGUUGACGCGCGUGUGUGCGUG
rnacentral:rRNA from 1 species